rnacentral:rRNA from 1 species
UACAGAGGGUGCGAGCGUUCAUCGGAAUUACUGGGCGUAAAGCGUGCGUAGACGGUUAUCUAAGUCGGAUGUGAAAGCCCCGGGCUCAACCUGGGAAUUGCAUUCGAGACUGAACAGCUAGGGUACGGUAGAGGGAAGUGGAAUUUCCGGUGUAGCGGUGAAAUGCGUAGAUAUCGGAAGGAACAUCAGUGGCGAAAGCGACUUCCUGGACCAGUACCGACGUUCAGGCACGAAAGCGUGGGGAGCAAACAGG